rnacentral:rRNA from 1 species
UACGUAGGUGGCAAGCGUUGUCCGGAAUUACUGGGCGUAAAGCGUGCGCAGGCGGUUUUGCAAGCCGGAUGUGAAAUCCCCGGGCUCAACCUGGGAAUGGCAUUCGGGACUGCAAGGCUGGAGUGCGGCAGAGGAGACUGGAAUUCCUGGUGUAGCAGUGAAAUGCGUAGAUAUCAGGAGGAAUACCGAUGGCGAAGGCAGGUCUCUGGGCUGACACUGACGCUCAUGCACGAAAGCGUGGGGAGCAAACAGG